AUUGAACGCUGGCGGCAGGCCUAACACAUGCAAGUCGAGCGGAUGAAGGGAGCUUGCUCCUGGAUUCAGCGGCGGACGGGUGAGUAAUGCCUAGGAAUCUGCCUGGUAGUGGGGGAUAACGUCCGGAAACGGGCGCUAAUACCGCAUACGUCCUGAGGGAGAAAGUGGGGGAUCUUCGGACCUCACGCUAUCAGAUGAGCCUAGGUCGGAUUAGCUAGUUGGUGGGGUAAAGGCCUACCAAGGCGACGAUCCGUAACUGGUCUGAGAGGAUGAUCAGUCAGACUGGAACUGAGACACGGUCCAGACUCCUGCGGGAGGCAGCAGUGGGGAAUAUUGGACAAUGGGCGAAAGCCUGAUCCAGCCAUGCCGCGUGUGUGAAGAAGGUCUUCGGAUUGUAAAGCACUUUAAGUUGGGAGGAAGGGCAGUAAGUUAAUACCUUGCUGUUUUGACGUUACCAACAGAAUAAGCACCGGCUAACUUCGUG
rnacentral:rRNA from 1 species